UAUUCCAAAACAACGAAAGCCCUGCCUCUCUUCCGUCCUUGCGGCUCCGAUGACCGCGCCAGUGCGAGUCGGAAAUAAUUCCAUGUC
rnacentral:sRNA from 1 species